UAGCAACAAGAUUCUCUGCAACUGCAAUUGACCUUGAAUCUUCAUGACUUAUCUACUUGGAAGAUCAGCAGAAAUCAAUAUAGAACGGUAAUAUUAAACAACAAUUUACCAUGAUCUUGCUUCUGGGUCUCCUUAUAUCCAUCCAAGACUGAUCCUUUCCGCACCAAUUCAGUUUAAUCUUUCUUCUUGUGGCUUAAAUGUCUCUGGUUACUACAUGAUGCAAUUCAUGUCAGUGGUGUGCUUCAAAUUUGGUUUCACUUCAGUCAGAAUGAGGGAUUGGUCGGUGGGAGUCUCCAUUAUGGUUCUUACAUUAAUAUUCAUCAUCCGUUUUGAACAAUCUGAUCACAAGUUUUCAACGAGUCACACUGCGGAUAAUUCUAGUAGAAGGAGAGAGUGUUCAUGAACCAGCAAAGAAGCCACAAUUUAUGACUUUGAUAAUAUCUUUUCAAGCAAAAGCUUUUUAGGAGGAGGAGAAGAGUACAAUUUGGAUUGCUUUAAAAAAACAUAAAAAA